CGACCUUUAUGAGUAUCUACUCAGGAUCAGCCUGGAACAGCCCUCUAUAAUCAAAAUUUUGAAUCUCCAAAAUUCAGCCUGCUAAAUCUGAACGAAACCUAGAUCGCGAUCAAUACUUGAUCUUUCUCCUUGAUUUUCUUUUUGUUCUCUUAUCUAGAGUUUCUCCUUGCUAUGUGCUACUACUAGAUGCUAGAAACUAGUAAGGAAGAGGUACUCAAACUUUUUUGGAUAUGAAAUACCUUGGGAUGCGCAUCCCA
rnacentral:lncRNA from 1 species